CAAUGAUAAUGGCAAAUCCACUCGAAAGAUGGAGACGCAAAGCCGCGGGUCUAAAGCAAUUACGCCAUGACAGCCGGGCUGCCGUG
rnacentral:ncRNA from 1 species